UAGCUCAGCUGGUAGAGCAAAGG
rnacentral:tRNA from 1 species